AGAGAGAAAGCAUUGAUGUGAGAGAGACACCUUGAUUGGUUGCCUCCCGCAUGCACUCCGACUUGGGACAGGGAGCAAAUCCUAAACCCAGGUACAUGCCCUUGCCCGGGAAUCAAACCCUCAACUGUUUCGUGCGACUCUUCAGUGCAUAGUCUGACCCUCCUACCAUUGAGCAACACUGGCCAGGGCAGCAAAGUCUCUUUAAAAAGAAUCUUUAAGUAUAAGACUGACUUACUAAGAAUAAAUUGAAAAUAUGUAGCUAGCCCCCUGAUUUGCAGCUGACACUAUGAGAAUAAAGAUCUCAUUUAUUCAUUGUGAAUUUUAAAAGAUAUUUUUAAUGAUAUUGUCUGGCUUAUCCAUUAUGUGGUCUAUUUAUUAGCAGUUCUUCAUACACAGAUGGCUUUGUUUGAGUGAUUCUUUCAAGUUAAGUACCUUGUAAAAUAAGUUUACUGACAGCCUACUUUUAAUGCCUAAGUGAUAGUCUUUAAGUUUCAGGCAUUUUAAUAUUUUGGAUGUGAUUACAAAUUCUGAGACUUUAUGAUUGAUUUAAAUACAAAAUUAUCAACUUGAGAAUUCUAAUGAUUUACUGAUUAUUGCUUGUUUUCCAUUCAUAUAUUUACUAAACUCUUUGCUUGUCAUGUAGAAGGAGUCAGGAUUAGUUAUCUGCAAACAAUUAAAGUUGUGAAACAUCUCUUUUUUCUUUCUGCUAAUUGUGGCUAUAAAGGUUAUGUGUGGAAGUGGUCAUGAGCUUGACAAUUAAAAAAAUAAUUGUCAAUUAUUUCUAGUCAUUAAAGACUUGAAAAGGGGAGGGUUUUCCUUACAAUGGAUGACAAAAUAGAAUAAAAGAAGCUUUGACUAUUUUUCUUUUAAUGGUGGGGUGAUAUUAAGUGUGGGUUUUUUCUUGCUAGUUUUAUUUUGGAGUCAUUUACAUGUCACUAAGUAGAUGCAAUAGAACAUACAUAGCAGAAGUAGACAGAUUCACUAAAACAUAGCCAUUAAAUGGCCAAAAUAUUGCAGGGGAAAGCAAUUGUUUUUAAGACACGGUAAGUAAGAAAGAAUUAUAAAAAGACAUCCUUUAUAGAAUAGAAGUCCAUACUCUGGAGAGGACCUAGUUCAUCGAUUACACUUUUGUCUUCAAAUUUGCUGAAGAAAGUAAAACACUUGGGGUUGGAGGGGAGAAAGGAUGUGAGUGUGUGUAUACAUCAUAGAGAGGAUUCAUCAAGAUUUUCUAGUCAGUAAAUUGCCAUAUUGGGGAAUUUUUAAUUACUUGCCUAUAUUAAGUGGGCCCCUGUUUCCAGGCUGCUGUCACCCCUGGGCCAUGUCAUGUUCAUUAGGGCAGCCGACCCUAUACCCUCACCUUACCCCCUGGGAACUUCAAAUUCCCUUUCUUCUGCCAUCUCCUUCCCAUAGGCAUGCCCCAGCUUGGGAUCUUUUCUACCUUUGACAGAUCAUUGGGCUCAGCCCUUCCGCUCUUCAGUCACGGCCUGGUGUGCUUCCACAUGCCCUCACUCAGUUACUUCUGCUCUGAGUUUUCCUUCUGCAUCCAGAUUUCCAGCUGCUCCUCUCACCUUAUGCAGCUAAGACCAGUCAGUCACUUGAAAUCUGCUUCUCCAGCACUCCUAGUCCUUUUGCCCAUCUUCUAGCCGUCGGCAUACUUGACCAACUCCAGCUCUGGACCAGGCCAGCCACCUGCCUUUCUCUCCCUGCGGCCAGGCCUCUAAGUGCUGCUGGAGAAAAUCUGCCACUUUGUAGAUUGAGCCACUAGAAAUCCAGUCUCUAACCUCAGAUCUUUCUCCCUCAGUUCUGGCCAUCAUAUCAAAAGCUUACCUUCCAUCCUUUCUGCCUCAUUUCUCUCACCAAAAGGAGCCAUUGUUCCUGUCUAAGGCAAACCUUAUAUCUGUGCUCUUAACACCUUCCCAGCUCACCUGCUCAAGGCAUCAAGUCACAGUUUAGAGACUCUUUCAGCCCUAAAGAUUAUUCAAUUAUUUGUGGAUUUCAACUUUUCCCUUAUCUUCUGGAUCUUAUGAAAUGAGUGCUUUUUGAAUGGAGAAGAGGAGGAGAAGAAAAAAAUAAAUGUAAAAACCUUGUUCUUGCCUUGGCAAGCUUGGCCUUACGUGUUGGAGUGGAAUGACAUGUCUGGUCUGGUGAAGAAGGGAUAUUUAGGGUUGGUUUGGCUUCUUAUUCUAUUUGAUUUUUCUUUUUAGGUUUGUCUUUUAAACUGGAAUUUUUAUGUGAAUGUAUCUGAAUUUAGAAUAAAAGUACUUAGCAUCACAAUU